GAUGAACGCUGGCGGCGUGCCUAAUACAUGCAAGUCGAGCGAACCGCUUCGGUGGUGAGCGGCGAACGGGUGAGUAACACGUAGGUGAUCUGCCCAUCAGGACGGGGACAACGAUUGGAAACGAUCGCUAAUACCGGAUAGGACGAAAGUUUAAAGGUGCUCCUGGCACCGCUGAUGGAUGAGCCUGCGGCGCAUUAGCUAGUUGGUAGGGUAAAGGCCUACCAAGGCGACGAUGCGUAGCCGACCUGAGAGGGUGAACGGCCACACUGGGACUGAGACACGGCCCAG
rnacentral:rRNA from 1 species